rnacentral:rRNA from 1 species
AUGUCGCUAAUACUAUGGGACGAGGCUCCAAUGGCAAACAAGAUAUAUUUUGAAGCGCUAGACAGGACUCUCAGGGAUAUAUUAAGGCAUAAAAAUGUGAACAACAUUGAGCGACCAUUCAGGGGCAUGACAAUGGUUCCAGGAGGGGACUUCUGCCAGAUCCUUUCUGUUAUACCAAAGGGAAGAAGACACAACAUAGUAACUGCAUCCAUUAAAAGGUCAUAUCUUUGGAGGGACAUUCAUAUAAUUUUUUGA